rnacentral:rRNA from 1 species
UACGUAGGGUGCAAGCGUUGUCCGGAAUUAUUGGGCGUAAAGAGCUCGUAGGCGGUCUGUCGCGUCGGCUGUGAAAACUUGGGGCUCAACCCCAAGCCUGCAGUCGAUACGGGCAGACUAGAGUGCGGUAGGGGAGACUGGAAUUCCUGGUGUAGCGGUGAAAUGCGCAGAUAUCAGGAGGAACACCGGUGGCGAAGGCGGGUCUCUGGGCCGUAACUGACGCUGGAGGAAGCGAAAGCGUGGGGAGCGAACAGG